AGCUCCAAUAGCGUAUAUUAAAGUUGUUGCAGUUAAAAAGCUUGUAGUUGGAUUUCUGGCAGGAGCGACCGGUCACACACUCUGUGUGUGAACUUGUGUUGUCUCUGGCCAUCCUUGGGGAGAUCCUGUUUGGCAUUAAGUUGUCGGGCAGGGGAUACCCAUCGUUUACUGUGAAAAAAAUAGAGUGUUUAAAGCAGGCUUAUGCCGUUGAAUAUAUUAGCAUGGAAUAAUAAGAUAGGACUUCGGAACUAUUUUGUUGGUUUGCGUUACAAAGUAAUGAUUAAUAGGGACAGUUGGGGGUAUUCGUAUUUCGUUGAAUUCUUGGAUUUCCGAAAGAUAAACUACUGCGGAAGCAUUUACCAAGGAUGUUUUCA
rnacentral:rRNA from 1 species